GACGAACGCUGGCGGCGGGCUUAACACAUGCAAGUCGAACGGAAAGGCCCUGCUUUUGUGGGGUGCUCGAGUGGCGAACGGGUGAGUAACACGUUAGUAACCUGCCCUUGACUUUGGGAUAACUUCAGGAAACUGGGGCUAAUACCGGAUAGGAGCUCCUGCUGCAUGGUGGGGGUUGGAAAGUUUCGGCGGUUGGGGAUGGACUCGCGGCUUAUCAGCUUGUUGGUGGGGUAGUGGCUUACCAAGGCUUUGACGGGUAGCCGGCCUGAGAGGGUGACCGGACACAUUGGGACUGAGAUACGGCCCAGACUCCUACGGGAGGCAGCAGUGGGGAAUAUUGCACAAUGGGCGGAAGCCUGAUGCAGCAAAGCAGCGUGCGGGAUGACGGCCUUCGGGUUGUAAACCGCUUUCGCCUGUGACGAAGCGUGAGUGACGGUAAUGGGUAAAGAAGCACCGGCUAACUACGUG
rnacentral:rRNA from 1 species